rnacentral:rRNA from 1 species
UGCCAGACUCCUACGGGAGGCAGCAGUGAGGAAUAUUGGUCAAUGGUCGGGAGACUGAACCAGCCAAGCCGCGUGAGGGAGGAAGGUACAGAGUAUCGUAAACCUCUUUUGUCAGGGAACAAAGACUGGGACGCGUCCCCGGAUGAGUGUACCUGAAGAAAAAGCAUCGGCUAACUCCGUGCCAGCAGCCGCGGUAAUACGGAGGAUGCGAGCGUUAUCCGGAUUUAUUGGGUUUAAAGGGUGCGCAGGCGGAGGUGCAAGUCAGCGGUCAAAUUGCGGGGCUCAACCCCGUACUGCCGUUGAAACUGGCAGACUUGAGUUGGCGAGAAGUACGCGGAAUGCGCGGUGUAGCGGUGAAAUGCAUAGAUAUCGCGCAGAACUCCGAUUGCGAAGGCAGCGUACCGGCGCCAGACUGACGCUGAGGCACGAAAGCGUGGGGAUCGAACAGGAUUAGAUACCCUUGUAGU